AUUGAACGCUGGCGGCAUGCCUUACACAUGCAAGUCGAACGGCAGCACGGGGGCAACCCUGGUGGCGAGUGGCGAACGGGUGAGUAAUACAUCGGAACGUGCCCGAUAGUGGGGGAUAGCCCGGCGAAAGCCGGAUUAAUACCGCAUGAGACCUAUGGGUGAAAGCGGGGGAGUCGCAAGACCUCGCGCUAUCGGAGUGGCCGAUGUCAGAUUAGGUUGUUGGUGAGGUAAAGGCUCACCAAGCCGACGAUCUGUAGCUGGUCUGAGAGGACGACCAGCCACACUGGGACUGAGACACGGCCCAGACUCCUACGGGAGGCAGCAGUGGGGAAUUUUGGACAAUGGGCGCAAGCCUGAUCCAGCCAUGCCGCGUGCGGGAAGAAGGCCU
rnacentral:rRNA from 1 species